AGUGUGAGGAGAAUCAUGGACGUAAACUAAACAGAAAGUUACCAUGAUAAAAGUUAGGCAUUUCUUUCAAAUUACAGCAACAACACUCGUUUCCCUUGUAAAUCAACAACCUUUCCCCCCCAGGGUCUGAGGUUUGCUUAAGUUUACAAGGCAUCGCUCUUUCAACACUAACUACAGUUACACUCUGACAGAAAGAAUGCGCGAGUCAGUUAGCAUUAGCCGGCUAGCAGCGUGCUGACAGCAGCGACAGGAGGCGAACAAAAGAUUGCUCUGCAUUUGUCAGCUUGCACUGACAUCCGGUCCAUGUAGAAGGGGCGAUUAUCACCACAAUGCCCGUGUUACUUUUCCUGAUAGACACGUCCGCCUCCAUGAACCAGCGCUCCCAUCUGGGCACUAGCUAUCUGGACAUAGCGAAGGGCGCAGUUGAGACUUUCCUGAAGCUGAGGAGCAGAGAUCCGGCCAGCAGGGGAGACAGAUACAUGUUAGUGAGUUUCGAGGAAGCACCGGCUGGAAUUAAGGCUGGAUGGAAGGACAGUCACGCCACUUUUAUGACUGAGCUGAGGAACCUGCAAGCAGUUGGAUUGACAUCAAUCGGCCAGUCUUUACGGACCGCUUUUGAUUUGCUCAAUCUCAAUAGAUUAGUUUCCGGGAUAGACAACUAUGGACAGGGUAGGAACCCUUUUUUCUUGGAGCCUGCUAUCGUUGUGGCCAUAACUGAUGGCAGCAAGCUGACCAGCAGUUCUGGUGUACAAGACGAGUUACAUUUGCCCCUGACAACACCGUUGCCUGGCAGUGAGCUGACCAAAGAGCCCUUCCGAUGGGACCAGCGACUCUUCUCUUUAGUGCUCCGCAUUCCAGGCCACGCCUCUCCUGACCCUGAACCAAUAGGUGGAGUUCCACUUGACCCAUCCCCUAUUACGCCCAUGUGUGAGGUCACUGGGGGCCGUUCAUACAGCGUAUUUUCCCAGAGAAUGCUGAACCAGUGUCUGGAGUCUCUGGUGCAGAAAAUCCAGAGUGGUGUGGUCAUUAAUUUUGAGAAGACUGGACCUGAUCCUCCACCUACUGAAGAUGGCCCAAUAGAAAUGAAGUAUGGACCUCAAUCAUGGCACAGCUGUCAUAAGAUGAUCUAUGUCAGACCCAACCCUAAAACCGGUGUUCCUGUUGGUCAUUGGCCUAUCCCGGAGUCAUUUUGGCCUGACCAGAACUCUCCUACUUUGCCUCCACGUGCAGCUCACCCGCAGGUGAAGUUUUCAUGUGUUGAUUCGGAGCCCAUGGUGGUGGAUAAAGUGCCCUUUGACAAGUACGAACUAGAGCCUUCUCCGCUCACUCAGUACAUACUGGCAAGGAAAUCACCACACACCUGCUGGCAGGUUUUUGUGUGUAACAGUGCUAAAUACGGAGAACUCGGGCAGCCGUUUGGUUAUGUGAAGGCCAGCACAGCUCUUAACUGUGUCAACCUGUUUGUCAUGCCCUAUAACUACCCUGUGGUGCUGCCUUUGCUUGAUGACUUGAUUACUGUGCAUAAGUUCAAGCCUCCAGCAAAGUGGCGACAAUCUUUUGAGAACUAUCUUAAAACAGUCCCACCCUACUAUAUCACUGCCCUGCGGAAAGCACUAAGAAUGAUGGGAGCUCCAAACCUGUUGGCUGACAACAUGGAGUGCGGUCUGAGCUAUAGUGUUGUGUCUUAUCUCAAAAAGCUCAGUCAGCAAGCAAAGAUCGAGGCAGACAGAGUUUGUGCAUCAGUAGGAAAAAAGGCAGCACUUGAAGGUGGGAUUAAACUUCGCUGCAGAAGCGCCGCCCUCUCUCUGGCACACAGGAAGGAUUUCACGCAGCUGUUGAACAGUAUCAUGGGAGAUGGGCCAGCUCUGCCAAUGGAGGCAAACACCAAGGAGUUUGCUGGCUUUCAACUAGCUGCUCUGAAUAAAGCAUUUAAACCGCAAGGACUGCGGAACCCCUAUGAUAUCCCAAGAUCUCAUCUGCUAGACCAGCUGAGCCGCAUGAGGCGGAACCUUCUGCACGCCAGCAUCUGUAUUCUGAAAGGUCAAGAUCAAGAUCAGCUGCACAGUAUUCCUAUAGCUCAGAUGGGCAACUAUCAAGAUUUCUUGAAGCAUUGCCCAUCCCCUCUGAGAGAAGCAGACCCCGAUCAGCCUAAACGUUUGCACACCUUUGGUAACCCCUUCAAAUUGGACAAGAAGGCAAUGAUGGUAGAUGAGGCAGAUGAAUUUGUUACUGGCACUCAAGGCAAAGGCAAACGUCCUGGAGAAUCAAGCAGUCCUGCUGGGGGCGGGGCCCCCAAACGCAGACGCUGUAUGUCUCCUCUGCUUCGGCUGGGACGAGCAUAUACACCUCCCAAAACACCACCUAGAAAUCCAGAUAAUGAUGAGACCGAAUUGGGCAAUCACAUCAACAACCAUCUCGAGUCAUACCGCAACUCGGACAAGGAGCCGAGUCCUGCACUCGAGUCUGAACUGAUCCAGCAGAGGAACCUCCUUCAGCUGGAUGAGGUCGAGAAACAGGAAAACAGAGUGCAGGAGAACGGCCAGUCCAGCGAUAGUGAGUUUUCUCUGGGCAGCGAGGGUGAAGAGGAGGCCCCACACCGCUACCCUUCCCCCUGCCAACUGAAGAAGAUCAGAAACCAAGAGAGCCAGGAACUGAACUCUGAACUCCGAGUACUCAUCACCAAGGAGAUCAGGAAGCCUGGCAGACGUUAUGAGAAAAUCUUCUACCUCCUCAAGCAAAUCCAGGGCAGUUUGGAAACGCGUCUGAUCUUUCUGCAGAGCAUAAUCAAAGAGGCUGCCAGGUUUAAGAAAAGGGUCUUAAUUGAGCAGCUGGAGAACUUCUUGGAGGAGAUUCACUUAAGAGCCAACAGCAUGAAUCAUCUGGACGGUUUCUGAGCACUCCAUCUGUCCUACUUGAAGGACUCGCGCACAUAUCUGCACUAUUUAUGUAAUGUUAUAAUAAAGCAACUAAAUCAGCAAUAUUCUACACCAAUAAAAAGGUGAGUUACCAAGCAAUUCUUUAAAGUUGGAGGUUUGAGUGACUUGGAGGUUUUGUAAUUAUAUGUAGACUUGCACACUCCAAAAGUCAAUUGUUCUUUGUUAUAUAACUCAUCUCAGGAAUGAUGUUGCAGAAGAUUUGGCAGCAGUGGAACAUCUUUCUGGAAUUUUGUUUUCCCAAUAUUCUUAAAAAGCUCUUUCUCGUUU